rnacentral:rRNA from 1 species
AGGAGCUUGCUCCUUUGACGUUAGCGGCGGACGGGUGAGUAACACGUGGGUAACCUACCUAUAAGACUGGAAUAACUCCGGGAAACCGGGGCUAAUGCUGGAUAAUAUUUAGAACCGCAUGGUUCUAAAGUGAAAGAUGGUUUUGCUAUCACUUAUAGAUGGACCCGCGCCGUAUUAGCAAGUUGGUGGGGUAAUGGCUUACCA